UACGUAGGCAGCAAGCGUUGUUCGGAGUUACUGGGCGUAAAGGGUGUGUAGGCGGUUUUUUAAGUUUGGUGUGAAAUCUCCCGGCUCAACUGGGAGGGUGCGCCGAAUACUGAAAGACUAGAGUGCGGGGAGAGGAAAGUGGAAUUCCUGGUGUAGCGGUGAAAUGCGUAGAUAUCGAGGAGGAACACCGGUGGUGUAGACGGCUUUCUGGACCGUAACUGACGCUGGAGACACGAAAGCCGUGGGUAGCAAACAGG
rnacentral:rRNA from 1 species